GACGUAGGGGGCGAGCGUUGUCCGGAUUUAUUGGGCGUAAAGCGCGCGUAGGCGGCCCGUUAAGUCGGAUGUGAAAACCCGUGGCUCAACCGGGGACCUGCAUCUCAUACUGUUCAGCUCGAGCACAUCAGAGGAGACUGGAAUUCCCGGUGUAGCGGUGAAAUGCGCAGAUAUCAGGAGGAACACCGGUGGCGAAGGCGGAUCUCUGGGCCUUACCUGACGCUGAGGCGCGAAAGCUAGGGGAGCAAACAGG
rnacentral:rRNA from 1 species